rnacentral:sRNA from 1 species
GUUUGCACUUGUCGGGGAAGAGUGAGAGCCUUCGAUUAAGGUUCGACUCGAGCGAAAGCGAGAGAACGUUGCCAACGGCAACGACCCGAAGGGUGAGGAGCGAAGCGACGAAUAAUCCUUCCCCCACCACUA